rnacentral:lncRNA from 1 species
UUGUUUUUUGUUUAUAACUAAGCUCCACAACUGACAUGGGACUCAGACUCACAACUCAUAGAUCAAGAGUCGUGUGCUCUACCUACUGAGCCAGCCAGGCGCCCCUGAAGAGUAUUUUCUUAGAUUUAUAAAGUUGGGCUAACACUCUACACACAUUCAGACUAAGUUCUGCUGCUUCCUUUAAGAUGCAGAAGUUAUUAAGUUGAUGAACCGUUAAGAUUUGAAUAUCUGGCAGGUGUAGAUUUUGCAUGCUACUAUAUUUACUUUCAUAAUUUUCCCCUUUUUUCUUCUGAUAUUCUCUCCCUAAAAGAGAAGGAAGUAAGAGGAUCAUAUGAGCAUCUAACUCUGGUUCACACUUGAGAUUGUCACUUCCACUUUCAAAAGAAGAGCAACUCGUAUCAUUUGCAACGUUAAUCAGAAUGUGGGUUUGCUAAUGUUUUUCUCUUCCUUCAGCAAUUUUCCAUAUUCCUAAAAAGUACCUCUAGAUUGAAAUAACACUUUAAAUGAGCAUGCCUGUUUAUGUGUUAAAGACAGAUGGAGAAGGAGAAAGGAGGGGGAUAAUUAAAAGGAGAUGGAAAAUAUAUUGACAUUUAAAUGUUCUUUCCUUUCAAGUGUUCAUCCUACAUCCCCCUUCAUUUGUGCUAAGACGAAGGAGGCAGUGGAGACAUUCCUAGUUCAUAUCUGGCAUUCCCUAUGGGCUCACUAAGGGGUUGAUAAUCUGCUUCCCUAACCCAAGAGUAAGAGAAAAUAGAAUGAGGACCAGGGGAAGAAGGGCCAAAGAAUACUGGUUUAGUCAUGAUCGUCCUAUGUCGACAUAGCACAUUCUAUCACCAGAGCCUCUAAUAGCAGCAGCUACUAUUGUGCACACACGGGUGCCUGUGUAUGUGCCAGAUAUAGCACAGUCAGGGUAUGUGACAGAAUGGAAAGAAACUUAAGGGAAGAUUCUCGUGACAGACCUACAGAUAAGACAGAGGGAGCUACAGACUGACAUGAAAGACUUUAAAAAAAGCAUCCAAUGGAGUAAGAAAAAACCCUGUAAAGAAAUAGAACCUGUGAUAAGAUUCAGAAAUAAAAGCAAUCAUCUGAAUGUAAUAGCAAGUUACAAAGUUACUGUUCUUCAUACUGCUGCUCUAUUUAGACAGAAGACCACAAUGAACAACAAAAUUGCACACUUCUGGUGGUGAAAAAGGCAAACUAGGAGACUCUUCACCAAUGACCACCAAGACUCCAGCCUAGUACAAAUCAGGGGCCAUCCAGGAAUACAGAUAAAACACCCCUGGAGGAUUUUAAUGGGAGUUGUCUCCACACUGAGAACACACUAAACCAAAAGACUCAGUCUGAAAGAAGACAGGCUGUGGUCUAGAUUUCUCAACUUUCGUAUGUUUACAUCAACAGAAAAGCAACCACUAGACCAAAGAAGAAUGAUUUGAGACGUCAAGGGAAUGGAGUUUCACUUUCCUGACCUCCAUUUAUUAAGCAAUAGUGAUGAACAAAGCAAAAUAGACAAUUUGGAAACAAUGUCAAGGACUUCCUAAAAUAAUUAUGUCUGGCCUACCACUAUAGGUAUAUAAACUUGAGAAAAAGAUUUGAUACAAUACAGUCUCCUGUAGAUUUCCCCUUUUAUAUUGUAUCCAACUCUCUCCAAGCAGUUAUAAAAAGAAUAUCCCAACCACUUUGCUUCCAUGUUCUUAUCUGAAAAAUGUCAUCUGGCAUGAACUAAGAUAACAUGUAGGAAGCACUUAAAAUACCUGCCACAACAAACAUUGCUGUUCUCUAUCUUCACUUCCCAUCAGAGAGAAUCAAUCCACUGAGGAGAGGCUACCUAAUUAGAAACCAUCUAAUUUAUCAAAUCUUCUAAAGUGAUGCACAUUGAUGUUGAGCAGCCAUCACUAACAAAACAAUGAAAAUAAUUAUUAACAUGUAUUGUUUAUUGCUAUAGAUCCACCAUUUAGGGAUUAAAUAGGUAUCAGUUUGAAUUUUGAUAAAAUAAUACACACAUAGCCAACACUCAAAUCUUAACGUGAAACUAGGCUCUAAAACCCAUAGAAAGGAUGGGAGGGUACCAAAGAGAAAACAGCAAGAUUUAUACAUCAAAGCACUUGCUCUAUCAUUUUUUCUUUAAUGAGAACAUUGGAAUUGAGAACUUCUGAAAUUCUGCGAAGAGUCUUCGGCUGCACCUAAAAAGAAAAACGAAAAAUAACGUGGGCACUAGGGGAAAAUAUAAAAAGCAUGCAGAAGUUUCGAAAAAAGGAAGAAAAAAUCUGAAUAAAGGAUCUCCUCAGAGGAUGAGUGAAGGGAAU